UAGACCUCGAAGUUUCUACACCCAGUUUCGGUUUUUGUUUAUAAAAAUUUUGCUUUCUCAAUUAAACCACUCGAGGGUUUAAUCAAUCUCGACGUAUCCAAAAGCCAGUUUCGGUUCGCGUCCAGCUUUCCUGUUGAAGCAAGAGAAGAGAAUAAAAUUUUCCGUCAAAUCACUCGAGAGAAUGGUGUUCGGGCAAGUGGUGAUUGGUCCACCUGGUUCAGGAAAAACCACUUAUUGCAAUGGCAUGUCUCAGUUUCUCAGCCUUAUUGGCAGGAAGGUUGCUGUUAUAAAUUUGGAUCCUGCUAAUGAUGCGUUGCCUUAUGAUUGUGCUGUGAAUAUUGAGGAUCUCAUAAAGCUAAGUGAUGUAAUGAUGGAGCACUCACUUGGUCCCAAUGGGGGUCUUGUAUACUGUAUGGACUAUUUAGAGAAGAACAUUGACUGGUUGGAAUCUAAAUUAAAACCUCUUAUAAAAGAUCAUUAUCUUCUCUUUGAUUUUCCUGGUCAAGUCGAAUUAUUUUUCCUUCAUUCCAGUGCCAAAAGUGUUAUAAUGAGACUCAUAAAGAAGUUAAACCUCAGGUUGACUGCUGUGCACCUAGUUGAUGCCCAUCUUUGCAGUGACCCUGGGAAGUAUGUUAGUGCAUUGCUCUUGUCAUUAUCUACCAUGCUACAUAUGGAACUCCCACACAUCAAUGUGUUGUCUAAGAUUGAUCUGAUUGAGAACUAUGGAAAACUAGCUUUUAAUCUUGAUUUCUAUACAGAUGUGCAAGAUUUAUCGUAUUUACAAUACCAUCUUGAUCAAGACCCACGUUCUGCUAAGUACAGAAAGCUCACAAAGGAGCUGUGUGAUGUAAUAGAAGAUUAUAGUUUGGUCAAUUUUACAACCUUAGAUAUUCAGCUGCUUCUCUUUAGGAUAAAGAGAGCGUGGGGAAUCUUGUGAAGCUGAUAGACAAGAGCAAUGGGUAUAUCUUUGCCAGCAUAGAUGCCAGUGCAGUUGAAUUUAGCAAGAUAGCAAUACGUGAUAUUGAUUGGGAGUAUUACAAAGCAGCGGCAGUGCAGGAGAAGUACAUUAAGGAUGAUGACAACUUCGAUUCUAAGGAUUCAUAAGCUCAAUUGUGCAGGAGAAUGGUAUUUUCUUAUUAUCAUUUUGUCUGUGAUUUUGUCUGAAUUCACCUUCCUGGGAGGCUUCUAAGUUCUGAUGUUAGUUAUUGCAGGAGCUGUAAAGUUAAGACUUCUGAUUGUAACUUCCACAUUGAGGAAAGUCUUGUCAACUAUUAACUUGUUUUUGGAUAGCAACAGCAAGUUAAACAUUGGUGUACGUUGAAUCUUAGAAUGUGUUAUUAUAAUUUUGUAUCAACUAAAUUAAAAGAAAAUCUUGAAGAUUGCCUACA